rnacentral:rRNA from 1 species
GACGAACCGUCCAAACGUUAUUCGGAAUCACUGGGCUUAAAGGGUGCGUAGGCUGUGCAGUAAGUCGGGUGUGAAAUCCCUCAGCUUAACUGAGGAAUUGCGCCCGAAACUGUUGUACUAGAGGGAGACAGGGGUAAGCGGAACUGAUGGUGGAGCGGUGAAAUGCGUUGAUAUCAUCAGGAACACCGGUGGCGAAGGCGGCUUACUGGGUCUCUUCUGACGCUGAGGCACGAAAGCUAGGGGAGCGAACGGG